rnacentral:rRNA from 1 species
CCCGCUGAACUUAAGCAUAUCAAUAAGCGGAGGAAAAGAAACUAACAAGGAUUCCCCUAGUAACUGCGAGUGAAGCGGGAAAAGCUCAAAUUUGAAAUCUGGCAGUCUUUUUUUUCUUCUUUGGCUGUCCGAGUUGUAAUCUAGAGAAGUGCUUACCUGCGCUGGACCAUAUAUAAGUCUCCUGGAAUGGAGCGUCACAGAGGGUGAGAAUCCCGUCUUUGACAUGGACUGCCAGUGUGUUGUGGUGUGCUCUCAAAGAGUCGAGUUGUUUGGGAAUGCAGCUCUAAACGGGUGGUAAACUCCAUCUAAAGCUAAAUAUUGGCGAGAGACCGAUAGUGAACAAGUACCGUGAGGGAAAGAUGAAAAGGACUUUGGAAAGAGAGUUAAACAGUAUGUGAAAUUGUUGAAAGGGAAACGCUUGAGACCAGACUCGGUGAUUGGUGAUCAGCGGUAGCUUCUGCUCCGUGCACUUGCCUUUUACUGGGCCAGCAUCAGUUGCGACGGCAGGAUAAAGGCUCAGGGAAUGUGGCUCUCUUCGGGGAGUGUUAUAGCCCUGGGUGUAAUGCUGCCUGCCGCGACUGAGGACCGCGCUUCGGCUAGGAUGCGGGCAUAAUGGUCUUCAGCGACCCGUCUUGAAACACGG